UACGGGGGGAGCGAACGUUGUUCGGAAUCACUGGGCGUAAAGGGCGUGUAGGCGGUUUGGUAAGUGGGAUGUGAAAUCCCCCGGCUUACCCGGGGAACUGCAUUCCAUACUGCUGGACUUGAGUGCGGGAGAGGAUGGAGGAAUUCCUGGUGUAGCGGUGAAAUGCGUAGAUAUCAGGAGGAACACCUGUGGCGAAGGCGUCCAUCUGGCCCGUUACUGACGCUGAGGCGCGAAAGCUAGGGGAGCAAACGGG
rnacentral:rRNA from 1 species